GGUCGCGGAAUAAGUGCUGGGCAAGACCGGUGCCAGCCGCCGCGGUAAUACCGGCAGCACGAGUGAUGACCGCUAUUAUUGGGCCUAAAGCGUCCGUAGCUGGCCAUGCAAGUCCAUCGGGAAAUCCGCGCGCUUAACGCGCGGGCGUCCGGUGGAAACUGCAUGGCUUGGGACCGGAAGACCAGAGGGGUACGUCCGGGGUAGGAGUGAAAUCCCGUAAUCCUGGACGGACCACCGGUGGCGAAAGCGCCUCUGGAAGACGGAUCCGACGGUGAGGGACGAAAGCUCGGGUCACGAACCGGAUUAGAUACCCGGGUAGUCCGAGCUGUAAACGAUGUCUGCUAGGUGUGGCACAGGCUACGAGCCUGUGCUGUGCCGCAGGGAAGCCGUGAAGCAGACCGCCUGGGAAGUACGUCCGCAAGGAUGAAACUUAAAGGAAUUGGCGGGGGAGCACUACAACCGGAGGAGCCUGCGGUUUAAUUGGACUCAACGCCGGACAUCUCACCAGCAUCGACAAUGUGCAGUGAAAGUCAGGUUGAUGACCUUACUGGAGCCAUUGAGAGGAGGUGCAUGGCCGCCGUCAGCUCGUACCGUGAGGCGUCCUGUUAAGUCAGGCAACGAGCGAGACCCGCACUCCUAAUUGCCAGCAACACCUAGCGGUGGUUGGGUACAUUAGGAGGACUGCCAGUGCCAAACUGGAGGAAGGAACGGGCAACGGUAGGUCAGUAUGCCCCGAAUGUGCUGGGCGACACGCGGGCUACAAUGGCCGAGACAGUGGGAUGCAACCCCGAAAGGGGGCGCUAAUCUCCGAAACUCGGUCGUAGUUCGGAUUGAGGGCUGAAACUCGCCCUCAUGAAGCUGGAUUCGGUAGUAAUCGCGCCUCAGAAGGGCGCGGUGAAUACGUCCCUGCUCCUUGCACACACCGCCCGUCAAAGCACCCGAGUGGGGUCCGGAUGAGGC
rnacentral:rRNA from 1 species